GCGUAACAGCUCACUGGUCUAAAUAAGGGUUUCUGCGCCGAAAAUGUAACGGGGCUAAAGCCAUACACCGAAGUCGCGGGCUCGCAAGAGCGGUAGCAGAGCGUUCCGCAAGUCAGUGAAGGGAUACCCGCGAGGGAUCCUGGAGAUACCGGAAGUGCGAAUGUUGACAUGAGUAACGAUAAAGGGGGUGAGAGACCCCCUCGCCGAAAGUCCAAGGGUUCCUGCUUAAAGUUAAUCUGAGCAGGGUUAGUCGGCCCCUAAGGCGAGGCCGAAAGGCGUAGUCGAUGGGAAGCAGGUUAAUAUUCCUGCACCCGGAGGUAGUGACGAAUGCCGUAAAUCGUCAUCCCUUAUCGGAUUGGGAUGGCGGUGAUGGUGUUCCGGGAAAUAGCUCCUCCGUACGGACCGUACCCGAAACCGACACAGGUGGACAGGUAGAGUAUACCAAGGCGCUUGAGAGAACUAUGUUGAAGGAACUCGGCAAAUUGCACGCGUAACUUCGGAAGAAGCGUGACCCUUUUGCGGGCAACCGCGGGAGGGUGGCACAGACCAGGGGGUAGCGACUGUUUAUCAAAAACACAGGGCUCUGCGAAGUCGCAAGACGACGUAUAGGGUCUGACGCCUGCCCGGUGCCGGAAGGUUAAAAGGAGAGGUGAGAGCUUUGAAUUGAAGCCCCGGUAAACGGCGGCCGUAACAAUAACGGUCCUAAGGUAGCGAAAUUCCUUGUCGGGUAAGUUCCGACCUGCACGAAUGGCGUAACGACUUCCCCGCUGUCUCCAACAUCGACUCAGCGAAAUUGAAUUGCCUGUCAAGAUGCAGGCUUCCCGCGGUUAGACGGAAAGACCCCGUGCACCUUCACUACAGCUUCGCACUGGCAUCAGGCACAACAUGUGCAGGAUAGGUGGUAGGCUUUGAAGCAGGGACGCCAGUCCCUGUGGAGCCUCCCUUGAGAUACCACCCUUGUUCUGCUUGAUGUCUAACCGCGGCCCGUUAUCCGGGUCCGGGACCGUGCGUGGUGGGUAGUUUGACUGGGGCGGUCGCCUCCUAAAGCGUAACGGAGGCGCGCGAAGGUUGGCUCAGAGCGGUCGGAAAUCGCUCGUUGAGUGCAAUGGCAGAAGCCAGCCUGACUGCAAGACUGACAAGUCGAGCAGAGUCGAAAGACGGCCAUAGUGAUCCGGUGGUCCCAAGUGGGAGGGCCAUCGCUCAACGGAUAAAAGGUACGCCGGGGAUAACAGGCUGAUACUGCCCAAGAGUCCAUAUCGACGGCAGUGUUUGGCACCUCGAUGUCGGCUCGUCUCAUCCUGGGGCUGGAGCAGGUCCCAAGGGUAUGGCUGUUCGCCAUUUAAAGAGGUACGUGAGCUGGGUUUAGAACGUCGUGAGACAGUUCGGUCCCUAUCUGCCGUGGGUGUAGGAUACUUGAGAGGAGUUGCCCCUAGUACGAGAGGACCGGGGUGAACGAUCCACUGGUGGACCUGUUGUUGCGCCAGCAGCAGUGCAGGGUAGCUAUGAUCGGACAGGAUAACCGCUGAAGGCAUCUAAGCGGGAAGCCCCCCUCAAAACAAGGUAUCCCUGAGGACCGUGGAAGACCACCACGUCGAUAGGCCGGAGAUGUAAGCGCAGCAAUGCGUUCAGUUGACCGGUACUAAUGGCC
rnacentral:rRNA from 14 species